CUGACGAGUUUGAUCCUGGCUCAGAACGAACGCUGGCGGCAGGCCUAACACAUGCAGGUCGAGCGAGGACUUCGGUCCUAGCGGCGGACGGGUGAGUAACGCGUGGGAACGUGCCCUUUGGUACGGAAUAGCCCCGGGAAACUGGGAGUAAUACCGUAUGGUGUCUUCGGACUAAAGAUUUAUCGCCAAAGGAUCGGCCCGCGUUGGAUUAGGUAGUUGGUGGGGUAAUGGCCUACCAAGCCGACGAUCCAUAGCUGGUUUGAGAGGAUGAUCAGCCACACUGGGGCUGAGACACGGCCCAGACUCCUACGGGAGGCAGCAGUGGGGAAUCUUAGACAAUGGGGGCAACCCUGAUCUAGCCAUGCCGCGUGAGUGAUGAAGGCCCUAGGGUUGUAAAGCUCUUUCAGCUGGGAAGAUAAUGACGGUACCAGCAGAAGAAGCCCCGGCUAACUCCGUG
rnacentral:rRNA from 1 species